AGCAUGUGGUUUAAUUUGACAUACGCGUAGAACCUUACCCACUCUUGACAUCCUUCGCAAAGCUAUAGAGAUAUAGUGGAGGUUAACGGAGUGACAGAUGGUGCAUGGUUGUCGUCAGCUCGUGUCGUGAGAUGUUCGGUUAAGUCCUGCAACGAGCGCAACCCCUAUCUUUAAUUACUACAUUAAGUUGAGGACUUUAAAGAUACUGACCAAGCAAUUGGUAGGAAGGUGGGGAUGACGUCAAAUCAUCAUGCCUCUUACGAGUGGGGCAACACACGUGCUACAAUGGCCGGUACAAAGAGAAGCAAGAUGGUGACAUGGAGCAAAUCUCAAAAAACCGGUCUCAGUUCGGAUUGAAGUCUGCAACUCGACUUCAUGAAGUUGGAAUCGCUAGUAAUCGUAGAUCAGCUACGCUACGGUGAAUACGUUCUCGGGUCUUGUACACACCGCCCGUCACACCAUGGGAGCUGGUAAUGCCCAAAGUCGGUUUAGCUAACCUCGGAGGCGACUGUCUAAGGCAGGACUGGUG
rnacentral:rRNA from 1 species